GAGAAGGGAAGGAUCUCUAUAUGGAGAUCUCUCUUCGUGAGUCAUUUGGUGAACAUCCAUUCUUAGGAUGGUUACCCAAAUGUAUGGGUUUUGAGGUGAGUGGACAUACAGCUCUAACCUUCUGCAUACUGCUGGCCAUUACCGUUGCUGGGAAUCCUACAGCUUUCUCUGCUGAUGUCAGGCAGCCAAGCCACUUUUGGAUAUCUGAAUAGAUUUUGAUAACCUAAACAGUCUUUUUGCUGAUGCUGAGUGUACAGAUUAGAUUGGAUGUGUAAUGGUAUCAUUUGGAUCAAUCCACAAGGAGGAAAAUACAACUUCAAUCAAAGAUGGAGUCAGAUGUGGACUUGUGCAUCCUGUGCUUGCUAUGUCAGCAGGCAUUCCAGGGACACAACAUCAUUUAGGUUUCGUAUAACUGCCUUUAGUGACAAAGCAAACGGUAAUAAUAAAAGCCCUUUAUUUCCUGUGUUUUGAGCUGAGGUUUGUUAAAGAAUUGCUUUUAUUUGACCCUGAUGGCAUGUCCUGCCCGGCUCAGCUGAGAGGUUAUUUUGUGGCACAUAAACACUUUUGAUUCCUGAAUAUGUGGUUUAAGACUCUGAUUUCUGUGUGUCUGUGUGGCAUAGGCCGUGUCCCAGGCAUACUAGAAAGGUGGUUUGUCCUCAGCAUACUUUCUGAGCCACUACGUAAAUCAAAUGGUUUCUGAAGGUUUUCCAUCUGAGAUGCCUGAAAUCUGACUUAUCAAAUUUGUUGCAUUGCAUUUCUGUCUGUUGAAUUAGUCUCUUGUGAAGCAUAUGUAAUAGCUCGUGAAAGCUGUGUAUAUGACACAAAUAUCUUGUGUUUUCUUUAG